rnacentral:rRNA from 1 species
AUUAGAUUUCUUUAGGGUCGUCAAAGACUAUGACGUUGAUAGGAUGCAGGUGUAAAGCUGGAGACAGCAAAGCCGAGCAUUACUAAUUGCCCGUCAACUUUUGU